GCUACGGGGGGGGGAGGGGGGGGGGGAGUACGGUGGGGUCAGGGGUUGGUCGGAAUGGCUGUGCUGAAAGGGUGGUUAGGGGGCGGCUUAAGUCCUAGGGGCAAUCCCGUCGCUGAACGGGGGAACUGCGUCUGAAACUGGGAGGCUCGAGUACCGGAGAGGAAGGUGGAAUGCCCGGUGUAGCGGUGAAAUGCGUAGAUAUCGGGAGGAACACCGGUGGCGAAGGCGGCCUUCUGGACGGAUACUGACGCUGUUACGCGAAAGCGUGGGGAGCAAACAGGAUUAGAUACCCGUGUCGUC
rnacentral:rRNA from 1 species